UGUCGUCAGCUCGUGUCGUGAGAUGUCGGCUUAAGUGCCAUAACGAGCGCAACCCUCAUCAUUAGUUACUAACAGGUCAUGCUGAGGACUCUAGUGAGACUGCCAUCGUAAGAUGCGAGGAAGGUGGGGAUGACGUCAAAUCAGCACGGCCCUUACGUCCGGGGCGACACACGUGUUACAAUGGGUGGUACAAAGGGCAGCUACCUGGCGACAGGAUGCUAAUCUCCAAAACCACUCUCAGUUCGGAUCGGAGUUUGCAACUCGACUCCGUGAAGCUGGAUUCGCUAGUAAUCGCGCAUCAGCAUGUCGCGGUGAAUACGUUCCCGGGA
rnacentral:rRNA from 1 species